rnacentral:lncRNA from 1 species
GCCCUCUGAGAUCCUCAAAUGUAGCCAUGCCCAGCACUGCCCAGGCCACCACUGCUCUGUGUCCCCAAGUGCCACAUGCCCAGGCUGUUCAACCCCCCGGGGAUGGGCUCUCACCCCUGCCCUGGGCAGCUGUGCCAAUGACAUCUUCCAUGAACACCCUGCCAGCAGCCAAGCUGAAGGUGCCCUGCACAGCCUCAGUUCUUGCUGCCCUCCUGUCCCUGGUCCCUGGAGCAGAGCUCUAUUCCCAGUCUCACAGGAGCCCUGCAAACCUGCCAGGGGUUACAGCACCUCAAGGAUUCCAUUCCCACAUCUGACACAAGAGCAUCUCCUUGGCACACGGAGUGGCUGAGCCCACAGGGAGGGACAUCCCUGGGGACAGCCAGAGCCCUGAGCUGGGGCAGCAGGAGCUGGGAGGGAACAUCUGAGAGCACAAACGUGGCCAUGAGGAGCUCUGGCACUGGGAAAGUGCAGCAGCAGCAGGACUGGGCCAGGCUGCUCUUCCCAGCCUUCAUCCCGGUGUGUCCCACAGUUGCCCAUCCCUGUGCUGCUGCUGUUCCUUGUCACACUCAUCCUCUGGCUCUUUGGCAGCAGUCCUCCAGCCUGAUCCCACACCUCUGGGGUUUCUGUGCUUGUGAUGACCCCCAGGUAUUAAAAAGUCUCUUUUUUCCCAGCCCCACACUCAAAGAAGUCGAGAUUCGUCAGCUCUGCUUUUCAAGGUUGUUUAUUUUCUCUUAUCUAUUCCAUUCUUUCUCUGACCUGCUGAGAUCUGUCCAGCAGGUUGGUUUGUGGCACAGCCCCUGCCCUUGGGGUGGUGUUAGCUUUUUAAACCAAGAACUAUUUGUACUUUAUUCACAAUAAUUCUCCAAUACCUAUCAUCUAUGUUGGACAGUCUGUCUCUACUCUAAACCAAUCCAGAAGUGUCACCAUCACAGCAGAGGAUGGAGGACAAGAAGAAGAAGGACAGGACAUGCCCAGUUCCCUCCAUCUUGCCUCUUGAACCCCCAUUCUAAAAACCCCAAAAUUCUACUUUUUUACCCUAUUUCAAAUUCACUAUCAUUCUACUCAAACACUUGUGGCUUGUAACUCCUCACACAAAGUUGGGAAUUGUUUCCAUGGGUUAAAAUCAAAGGCUCAGGUGUUUGUGACUCCGUGCCAAGGUCUGUGAGCCCCUGCCAGGGUCUGGAGCCAUCCAGGGCAGCCAGAGCAAUGUCCUGGGUUCUGACACACACCCUGCAGGGCUUUUUCCUUUCCCUCUGGCUGGGGCAGAGCUCUCCAGGCUCACCUCACACCCCAUCCUCACCCUGAACCCUGUCAAUGCCAUGCUCAGCCAGCUCCAGGCUCCCCUGCAGCCUCUGAACACUGAACCCCAGCAGCUUCCAGACUCUUCCAACUGCUUUUGUGCUUUUUCACUCUGUCUUGGUCUGAAAAGGAAGUGAGUUUAAUGUAGGUUCUUAAAUAAUUCCACAAAUCCUGUGUUACUCGCUUCACUCCGAGUGCAGCUCCCAAAUUAAUGGUGUGUGUUAAUUGGGCAGCUAAUCCCCCUCCCAGAAGAAAAAAGCAGCCUUAAGGAUUAUCAUAAUGCUUCUCAUUUUUGGUGCUGUGCUGCUAACGUGUUUUAGAUGUUUUAAUAAAUGAGAGGCCUUAAUUAGAGCA